rnacentral:hammerhead_ribozyme from 1 species
AUCUUGCUGAAGAGUGGUAAAUAGCACGAAACCCGGGUGUAUGAU